GGGGCUGAUUCUGGAUUCGACGGGAUUUGCGAAACCCAAGGUGCAUGCCGAGGGGCGGUUGGCCUCGUAAAAAGCCGCAAAAAAUAGUCGCAAACGACCAAAACUACGCUUUAGCAGCUUAAUAACCUGCUUAGAGCCCUCUCUCCCUAGCCUCCGCUCUUAGGACGGGGAUCAAGAGAGGUCAAACCCAAAAGAGAUCGCGUGGAUGCCUUGCCUGGGGUUGAAGCGUUAAAACGAAUCAGGCUAGUCUGGUAGUGGCGUGUCCGUCCGCAGGUGCCAGGCGAAUGUAAAGACAGACUAAGCAUGUAGUACCGAGGAUGUAGGAAUUUCGGACGCGGGUUCAACUCCCGCCAGCUCCACCA
rnacentral:tmRNA from 2 species